UUUAACGGCCGCGGUAUUUUAACCGUGCGAAGGUAGCGUAAUCACUUGUCUUUUAAAUGAAGACCUGUAUGAAUGGCAUCACGAGGGCUUAGCUGUCUCCCAUCUCCAGUCAAUGAAAUUGACCUCCCCGUGCAGAGGCGGGGAUAACUACAUAAGACGAGAAGACCCUAUGGAGCUUUAGACCUAAAGUAAGUCACGUUUAACAUGCUACGAUAAUAGUAAAAACUUAGUGAUAAUUACUGAAGUGUCUUUGGUUGGGGCGACCGCGGGGUAAAACACAACCCCCAUGUGGACCGGGGAUAUUAUCCCUAAUACUCAGAGCCUCUACUCCAAGUAACAGAAAUUCUGACUUUUCUGAUCCGGUAUAACCGAUCAACGAACCGAGUUACCCUAGGGAUAACAGCGCAAUCCCCUCUCAGAGCCCAUAUCGACGAGGGGGUUUACGACCUCGAUGUUGGAUCAGGACAUCCUAAUGGUGCAGCCGCUAUUAAGGGUUCGUUUGUUCAACGAUUAAAGUCCUACGUGAUCUGA
rnacentral:rRNA from 1 species